UACGUAGGGUGCAAGCGUUGCCCGGAUUUAUUGGGCGUAAAGGGCGCGUAGGCGGCUCGGCACGUCCGUUGUGAAAUCGCCCGGCUCAACUGGGCGGGGUCAGCGGAUACGGCCGAGCUUGAGCAAGCUAGGGGGCAAUGGAAUUCCCGGUGUAGUGGUGGAAUGCGUAGAUAUCGGGAGGAAGACCAGUGGCGAAGGCGGGUCUCUGGACAGUUCCUGACGCUGAGGCACGAAGGCCAGGGGAGCAAACGGG
rnacentral:rRNA from 1 species